UCCACUUUGGUUCAGUGGCUGAACCUACCGCAACCGUAAAUUUUCGGAAGCGGGAGGUCGGAGGUUCGAAUCCUCCUGGUGUAG